UACGUAGGGCGCAAGCGUUGUCCGGAAUUAUUGGGCGUAAAGAGCUCGUAGGCGGUCUGUCGCGUCGGCUGUGAAAGCCCGGGGCUCAACCCCGGGUCUGCAGUCGAUACGGGCAGGCUAGAGUGCGGUAGGGGAGACUGGAAUUCCUGGUGUAGCGGUGAAGUGCGCAGAUAUCAGGAGGAACACCGGUGGCGAAGGCGGGUCUCUGGGCCGUAACUGACGCUGAGGAGCGAAAGCGUGGGGAGCGAACAGG
rnacentral:rRNA from 1 species